GUCCGGCACAAACUCCACAGUCAUACCUGAGCACGAAGGAGCCACCAACGCUCGAACAAACAGUCACAUAGACUCAGCCAGCAGGGAGGAAGCCAUUAAAAGGCAGGUCAAGGACAACAACCGGCAGAUCAUUCCCGCUCCUCUGAUCCAAAUCUUUUCCUCUGAGAGGAAGCCGAAGUGUGUUCCUGUCGACUGUACCGUGGCGAGGGUUUAUUUUCACCUCACAGGAAGCCGAAUGAGCGCUGACCCCGAGUGAAGCUGUCUUCACUUUGACCAAACACCACAUCCAGCAGCACAGGCCUGAGCAUAGAACGUACUACGUAGCUGCCAACCGUCAGGACUAAAAUGACCUGAUUUCUGUUUCUUUAACUCUCCAACUGACUGUUCCUGCUGCAGCCUCUAUAUCUGCAUAAAGAUUCAGGAGAAACUGCUUCUUCAUCUGAAGAUCUUCUCCAGACAGGGACCAAAGGGGAGAAGAUGGUCAAGUUGUUUGUGGCUUCAUCUCAGGACAAGGAGAAACAGGAAGUGACAUCAUGGACGGUUCCCUGUUCCCAUCGGGAAACGGCGGCGGCCAGCAGGUGGCACCACCACAACAAAAGCCGACACAUCCUGCUCUGCUGUCUCCCCUUACCCACAAUUCCGUUUGGACCAAAGGUUUGAGUGACCCAUUUGUGUCGCGCGGGACCAGCUCCUGGACCAGAUUCUGGAGCUCUACUGCAAUGAAGACACGUUUGGAACAUCUACCACAAUACACCACUCUGUGUGUGUGUGUGGGGGGGGGGUGUCUGUGUCUGUGA
rnacentral:lncRNA from 1 species